rnacentral:tRNA from 1 species
ACUCUUUUAGUUUAUUUUAUAAAACAUGACUCUGAAGAAGUCAAGAAUUUUAGGAGUA